rnacentral:rRNA from 1 species
UAUUUAUCAUUGUAGGCAACGUUGAACCAGCCACGUCGCGUGAAGGUUGCCGGCGCCUGGGGUUUUAACUUACUUUUAUACAGAAAUAAAGUGAGUUACGAUUGACUUUUUGCAUGUACUGUAUGUAUAAGCAUCGGCUAACUCCGUUCCCGCAGCCGCGGUAAUACGGAGGAUCCAAGCGUUAUCCGGAUUUAUUGGGUUUAAAGGGUGCGCAGGCGGAAGAUUAAGUCGGCGGUGAAAUUUUGCAGCUCAACUGUAAAAGUGCCAUCGAUACUGGUUUUCUUGAGUGUGGAUGAAGUAGGCGGAAUUUGUGGUGUAGCGGUGAAAUGCAUAGAUAUCACGAGGAACUCCGAUUGCGCAGGCAGCUUACUAGGCCAUAACUGACGCUCAGGCACGAAGGCGUGGGGAUCAAAC